GUGAAAAAUGAAAUUUGUUGGGCUGCUGUGCGGAAUUUAACGCCUUCACGCAAACACACGUGUGAGAGGGAAGCGGGCACACACAGCGUCCAGCGGGUGAUUCUGUCCAAUGCAAAUGUGGACGCGGGGACUAGAGAUGCUACCGCGCAACACCCACGGUUCUUCAAGUGACUCCAACCAGAGAAGAGUAGUAGAGCAGUCGUCUUCGAACACAGAGGUCGGCGGUUUAAUCUUCGGCCAUGUCGACGUGUUCUUGAUCAAGAUACUGAACCUCCAGUUGCUCCAGAUCCUGCGUCAUCAGGAGGCUUGACAUCAUCUGGACUUGGACUCGGAUUCUCAGCUGCGGACUCAGACUUGACUUGGAUUCAGACCUUUGUGACUCGAAUUGGACUUACCGCGUCUGGUGGUUGAGAAGCUGGUCGCUGGAGGAGGCCUUGAUAGCGCUUGAGGGCAGAGCUGCCAAUUGUAUGACUCACACGAGCCUAGCAGGAGCAGCUUGAGCGUCAGGUGGGUACGCCUCGCUGACACCUUCCAGUUGGCAAGUGAGAGCAGCAGAUGGCGAGAUGCAUCACAUCGCGGACGAUUGUCAAGCUAACACGGCCGCGUUUGUUGUGCCAUCCUGCUAAUUUUCUGUUACCACUGUUUUAACUCUCUGGGCUCUCUGGUGGACAUUUGUGUCUACUUGACAAUUUUUUUAACAUGAUUUUAGCUGUUUUAAAGCAAAUUUAAUGCAACAUGG